ensembl:lncRNA
AUACGGGACCAUAUAUGGCAUGUGGUCACAUGGUGUCUCCCGCAGAAAACCUUGUGUAAAAUACUGAGGUAGCCAUUUUUCCAAUCGCUUCUUAUGAGAAACCAACUGCCUCAACGGAUAUAUUAUAGAAUAUAUUUGUUAAAACCACCUUGAGGAUGGAUCCUAAACAACGUGUUUCUGUCUAUUAUGUAGCUAAUUUUGAAAAAGGUUUGGCGUUAUAGUUGUAGCAUUAUUCGGUCGAUUUCUCAGCCAAGCAUGGUGAAGAAACGGGAGCUUUUUCAGUCAAAAAUAAAAAAGUCAAAAAUAAUAUUUUUGGAAAAAAGGAACAUUUGCUAUCUAACUGGGAGUCUCCUGAGUGAAAGCAUCCGAAGUUCUUCAAAGGUGUCACCCUACUUCCCCAUUAUCCCCUGGGUAUUUAAACUUGUGUUUUCUGUCUGUCAGUGCCAGUUCAUCUUGUAUUUUCCAAGUCAACCAGUGUGUUUUUCCUGUGCUCCUGCCUUUUCUGGUCUCUUUUGCUGGUCCUCCCGGUUUUGACCCUUGCCCUUUUUCUGGAUUCUGUACCCGCCUGCCUGACCAUUCUGCCUGCCUUGACCUCGAGCCUGCCAGCCACACUGUACCUCCUGGACUCUGGACUGGUUUUGACCUUUUGCCUGUCCACGAUCAUUCUCUUGCCUACCCCUUUUGGAUUUAAUAAAUAUCAAAGACUCAAACCAUCUGCCUCCCGUGUCUGCAUCUGGGUCUCACCUUGUGCCCUUAUACAUGAUCGGAUAUCGACAUGCCUGGGUGGUUGACCCUGUGACCCCUGUAGAGCAACGCUGUUUGUAGGUCUUCUAUAGUGCAGCAGAUCAAUGGCUGUGACAUGAGGCCCCUGACAGCUGAUCGAUAACAGCCUCCUAUUGAUUGGCAGUAAAUAAAGUGAUUGAUGGAUCGGCCUGAAAAUGAUUUGGUGACUGAGAGGAGAGGAGUGCAUCUGGACUUAGCAAGCCUGUUGGUAUAAGUCAGAAGAGGAUAGGGAGUAGGAGUGGGAGGAGAAGGAAGAGGAGGAGAAGCAAGAGGAGGAGGAGUAAGAGGAAGCGGAAGAAGGAGAUAGAGGAAGGACUACAGCCAAUGAUGAAGAAGAGGAUGAAAAUGUGGAGGAGGAAGAAAAGGAAGAAGAGCAGGAGGAGGAGCAGGAGGAAGAGGAGGAGGAUGAGAGAAUUAAGAGAGGGUGAAGAUGAUUUCUCUGGCAGAGUAAUUAAAGGCCUUUCUCAUCUCCGAGGAUUUCUCUCUGGGUUUAAUUACGGCCUGCGUCUUGCACUUUUUACAUUAAACAUGAUCCAGCCUGGCUUUUGU